rnacentral:rRNA from 1 species
CAAUAAGCGGAGGAAAAGAAACCAACAGGGAUUGCCUCAGUAACGGCGAGUGAAGCGGCAACAGCUCAAAUUUGAAAUCUGGCCUUCCGGUCCGAGUUGUAAUUUGUAGAGGAUGUUUCGAACGUGGUCCGGUCUAAGUUUCUUGGAACAGAACGUCAUAGAGGGUGAGAAUCCCGUAUGCGACUGGGUGCCUAAGUUCAUGUGAAACUCCUUCGACGAGUCGAGUUGUUUGGGAAUGCAGCUCAAAAUGGGUGGUAAAUUUCAUCUAAAGCUAAAUAUUGGCCAGAGACCGAUAGCGCACAAGUAGAGUGAUCGAAAGAUGAAAAGCACUUUGGAAAGAGAGUUAAACAGUACGUGAAAUUGUUGAAAGGGAAGCGCUUGCAACCAGACUUGCAUGCAGUUGAUCAUCCGGCGUUUUCACCGGUGCACUCGAUUGUAUUCAGGCCAGCAUCGGUUUUGGUGGUUAGAUAAAGGCCUUGGGAAUGUAGCUUCUUUCGGGGAGUGUUAUAGCCCUCGGUGCAAUGUAGCCUACCGGGACCGAGGACCGCGCUUCGGCUAGGAUGCUGGCGUAAUGGUUGUAAGCGACCC